GAGGAAAGCUGGCGGCGUGCCUAAUACAUGCAAGUCGAGCGGACGGACGAGAAGCUUGCUUCUCUGAUGUUAGCGGCGGACGGGUGAGUAACACGUGGAUAACCUACCUAUAAGACUGGGAUAACUUCGGGAAACCGGAGCUAAUACCGGAUAAUAUUUUGAACCGCAUGGUUCAAAGGUGAAAGACGGUCUUGCUGUCACUUAUAGAUGGAUCCGCGCUGCAUUAGCUAGUUGGUAAGGUAACGGCUUACCAAGGCAACGAUGCAUAGCCGACCUGAGAGGGUGAUCGGCCACACUGGAACUGAGGCACGGUCCAGACUCCUACGGGAGGCAGCAGUAGGGAAUCUUCCGCAAUGGGCGAAAGCCUGACGGAGCAACGCCGCGUGAGUGAUGAAGGUCUUCGGAUCGUAAAACUCUGUUAUUAGGGAAGAACAUAUGUGUAAGUAACUGUGCACAUCUUGACGGUACCUAAUCAGAAAGCAACGGCUAACUACGUG
rnacentral:rRNA from 1 species